rnacentral:rRNA from 1 species
GACGAACGCUGGCGGCGUGCUUGACACAUGCAAGUCGAACGGAAAGGCCUGCUUUCCCUUGUGGAUUGCGGGUACUCGGGUGGCUAACGGGUGAGUAACACGUGAGUGAUCUGCCCCCAACUUGGGUAUAAGCCUGGGAAACUGUGUCGAAUUCUCGAUAGAACUGCAGGGUUGUGCCUGUGGUGGCAAACGAGUUGCUACUGGUUGGUGAUUAGGUCCCGGCCUAGCAGCUUGUUGGUGUGGUAAUGGCCUACCAAGGCGGCGACGGGUAGCCGGCCUGGGAGGGUGGACGGCGGAAUUGGGACUGAGAUACGGCCCCGACUCCUACGGGAGGCAGCAGUGGGGAAUAUUGCACAGUGAGCGGAAGCCUGAUGCAGCGACGGCGCGUGGGGGAUGACGGCCUUCGGGUUGUAAACUCCUUUCGACCGCGAGGAAGGCAACUGGUUGGAAGGGUGGUGACGGUAGUGGUAGAAGAAGCACCGGCUAACUACGUG